UACAGAGGUCUCAAGCGUUGUUCGGAUUCAUUGGGCGUAAAGGGUGCGUAGGCGGCGCGGUAAGUCGGGUGUGAAAUCUCGGAGCUUAACUCCGAAACUGCAUUCGAUACUGCCGUGCUUGAGGACUGGAGAGGAGACUGGAAUUUACGGUGUAGCGGUGAAAUGCGUAGAGAUCGUAAGGAAGACCAGGUGGCGGAAGGCGGGUCUCUGGACAGUUCCUGAC
rnacentral:rRNA from 1 species